CCGCCGCCGCCGCCGCCGUUGCCGCCGCCUGUUUAGGACGAGGAGCGGGAAGGAGCGCAGCGUGGCGAUGGGCGGGGGUAGAGCCCGGCCGGAGAGGCUGGGCGGCCGCCGGUGACAGACUGUACUGUGUCCGAGGCACCUCCUGCAUGUCCUGCUGCCCUGAGCUGUCCCAAGCUAGGUGACAGCGUGUUAGCGCUGCCACCAUGAAUGAGGUAUCUGUCAUCAAAGAAGGCUGGCUCCACAAACGUGGUGAGUACAUCAAGACCUGGCGGCCUCGGUACUUCCUCCUGAAGAGUGACGGAUCCUUCAUUGGGUACAAGGAGCGGCCCGAGGCCCCUGACCAGACCUUACCCCCCCUGAACAACUUCUCCGUAGCAGGUGUGUUUCAGGGCCCAAGACCAGAGUUCCAC